rnacentral:rRNA from 1 species
CCUACGGGCGGCAGCAGUGGGGAAUAUUGGACAAUGGGCGAAAGCCUGAUCCAGCCAUGCCGCGUGUGUGAAGAAGGCCUUCGGGUUGUAAAGCACUUUCAGUGGGGAAGAAAGCCUUGGGGCUAAUACCCUCGAGGAAGGACAUCACCCACAGAAGAAGCACCGGCUAACUCCGUGCCAGCAGCCGCGGUAAUACGGAGGGUGCGAGCGUUAAUCGGAAUUACUGGGCGUAAAGCGCGCGUAGGCGGUCUGAUAAGCCGGUUGUGAAAGCCCCGGGCUCAACCUGGGAACGGCAUCCGGAACUGUCAGGCUAGAGUGCAAGAGAGGAAGGUAGAAUUCCCGGUGUAGCGGUGAAAUGCGUAGAGAUCGGGAGGAAUACCAGUGGCGAAGGCGGCCUUCUGGACUGACACUGACGCUGAGGUGCGAAAGCGUGGGUAGCAAACAGGAUUAGAUACCCUAGUAGUC